UGAAUGUGUUUGUAGAUAGAUGUUUUUGUGUUCUGUUAAAUUGUUCCUUUUAAAAUUGUUAUACGAUGAUGACUGAUGUACCCAUAUUUUGAGUAUUUUAUUUAUUGUGUCUGUUUAGUUAACGCAUCAAUGUAAAUAUAACGGAAUUUGAUGAGACUGUCAUCAAAGUGAGAGGGUUAGCGCUAUAAAACCAGGUUUAAUCCACCAUUUUCUACAUUUGAAAAUGCCUGUACCAAGUCAGGAAUAUGACAGUUCUUGUCCAUUCGUUUUUUGAUGCGUUUUGUUAUUUGAUUUUGCCAUGUGAUUAUGGACUUUCCGAAUUGAUUUUCAUCUAAGU
rnacentral:lncRNA from 1 species